rnacentral:lncRNA from 1 species
AAGGCAGAAUCUCACAUCAUAACCCCAAAUGACCUGUUACUCACCAUGUGGCCCAGCUGUCUUCAAACUCACCAGCCUCCUGCCUUAGCCUUCUAAAUGCUUGGAUUACAGGCAUGACCCACCAUAACUGGCUUUGUUUUAGUUUCAGAGAAGAUGAAACUGAUGUGCGUCAAAAAGGUAAAUGUCACAUGACCCAUCUUAUGUUGAAUAAAACUAUUCUAUGAUUCAAUCUGUAUAAGCUUCAAAGAUAAAUUAACUAGCAGCACAUUUUUAUUAUUGUUUGUAUAGUAUGUUUGAUCAAAUUCCUUCCCCUCCCCAAACUCCCUCUAGAUCCUCCCCAUCUCUCUAUCCACCCAACUCUUUGUUCUUUAUCUCUCCCAAAAUAAAGAACAAAACAAGAAAAAACAACAACAAAAAAUGAAAGCAUGUGCGUGCAAGCACACCCCCCCAUACACACACAAACACACACACAAACAUACACACACACAUACACACACACACCACAUAAAGUCUAUUUUGUGUUGGCCAACCAUUUCUAUGCAUGAAGCCUGAUGCAUGAAGCCACAAAAAUUGGCUGAUAUACUCUCUCUCCCUGCACUGCUAUGAAAUAGCUCCUCUUUCCUGUAAUCUUCUCAUGAGAGUUGGGCAUCUCCUGUCUCUGACUCAGUCUGUCAAAUCUUUCUCUGACUCAUUACUUUGUCUGCUAAACUACCCACAUUUUAACUGGGCACAUUCCUGUCAAUCUGAUGAGAAUCUAUUUCAUACCCUGCUUUAGCUGGUAGUCUGUCAAGGAAAUGAGCUGAACAUGUCUGUGUACAGCUUUUGUGCCAUCCCUGGAUGAGCGAGCUGUCUGCCUCUAUGUUCUCCACAAAAUGGAAUAUAGCUGUACACCCAAGCCAAGGUCAGUCACAGCGGCAAGGACCCUAUCUUUAUUUUUUAUAUGAAUUUUUAAAAGAUUUAUUCAUUUAUUUUAUGUAUGUGAGUACAUUGUAGUUAUCUUCAGAUAAACCAGAAGAGGGUACCAGAUCUCAUUAAAGAUGGUUGUGAGCCACCAUGUGAUUGCUGGGAAUUGAACUCAAGACCUCUGGAAGAGCAGUCAAUGCUCUUAUCUGCUGAGCCAUCUCUCUAGCCCCAGAACACUAUCUUUACACAUGGCAAGGCAAUGUGAUAGAAGAAUUGUGCAUACUGAGACAUAGCAAAGGCCUGUUUAGCAUAGCAUUCACCUUGGAACACCCAUUCCUUCUUUGACCUAUUAGGAAGAGGGAAACAUUUUUCUAUGAUACGGAAGCUAAGGUUACUAGCUAUCUUUGUUAUAACUUCCUUUAUCAUCUAAUUCUCAGCGUAUAGAAUUAAUUUUUUUCCAACUUGCUGAUUUAAUCUGUUUACUGUUCUAAUGAGAAACACUUAAGGCUAUGUAACUAAUAAAGAUUUUAAUUUUUACAGUUAUGGAGGCUGGGAAGACCUAGAAUGUGGCAUCACUAUUUGGUAAGAACCUUCCUAUGUCAUUGUAGAGUGAGGGACUUGGGUACCACAUGGCAAGGCAUAGUACCCAAAUCCCUUUCCUUCAUAAAAGUAUUAAUGUCAUCAAAGAGGCCCCACCACCAUGAUGCCAUCUGGGGCCUCAUGACCCCAAUGCCUGAUGCCAAAGACUCCCACCUCAAAAUACUUUUUUCUUCAGCAUAACAUUUUAUUAAUUAUCUGGGAAUUUCACAUCAUGUACUCCAAUCACACUCAGUUCCCAGUCCUUCCAUGUCAGCCCCCACCCUUGUUACUUGCCCCCCAAAAGAGGAAAAUUAAAACUAAGAAUUAAAAAAAAUUAAAAAAAUUAAAAUACACAAGUCCAAUUUAUGUUACCUAUAUACUCACUGAAGCAUGGUCAGAUUCUCAGUGGCCUGGCCCUUAAAUAGAAGUGAGUCUUCCCCCUCCUGCAUCUGAAGCCAUUAAUUGCGUAGAGCUACACUUCAACAUCUACAUCACACUUUCAAAGAGUUCUCUUCAGUGGAUUCCUGUUCUAGACCAUUACUUUGGAGACAGGGGUAGGGGAUUGUCACAAAAAGCCUUCCAUGUCCCUUCGUCUCAGUUGUACACCUGCAGUCAUCAAUAUCCCAGUGUAACUAGUCCCCUUGUUCUUCAUAGUUAGUGGAAACAUGGAUCAUGGGCCUCUCAAGGUUUCUGAUAACAUCCCAGACCAUGAACAUGGCCCUCAGGUGCAGGAGGACCACAGAUCCAGACAAAGACCAGAUCACAGCCAUAAAAAUAGCCUCAGGUGGCAGCAAAGGCCACUCAGAUUAGUAUGGCCUUUGGUGGCAGCACUAUCCAUAAACAUCAACGUAGCUUCAGGCAGCAGCACAGACUGUGAACAUCUCAUGGUCUUCAGUGGUAACACAAGCCAUGGAUAUCUACCUACAGCAGAA